AUUGAACGCUGGCGGUAGGCUUAACACACGCAAGUCGAGCGGAAACGAAGAAUAGCUUGCUAUUCUGGCGUCGAGCGGCGGACGGGUGAGUAAUGCUUGGGAAUCUGCCUAGUCGAGGGGGACAACAGUUGGAAACGACUGCUAAUACCGCAUACGACCUACGGGUGAAAGGGGGCCUCUUCUUGAAAGCUCUCGCGACUAGAUGAGCCCAAGUGGGAUUAGCUUGUUGGUGAGGUGAGAGCUCACCAAGGCGACGAUCCCUAGCUGGUCUUAGAGGAUGACCAGCCACACUGGAACUGAGACACGGUCCAGACUCCUACGGGAGGCAGCAGUGGGGAAUAUUGCACAAUGGAGGAAACUCUGAUGCAGCCAUGCCGCGUGUGUGAAAAAGGCUUUCGGGUUGUAAAGCACUUUCAGUGGGGAGGAAAGGGUGUACGUUAAUAGCGUGCAUCUGUGACGUUACCCACAGAAGAAGCACUGGCUAACUCCGUGCCAGCAGCCGCGGUAAUACGGAGGGUGCGAGCGUUAAUCGGAAUUACUGGGCGUAAAGCGCGCGUAGGUGGUUAAUUAAGUCAGAUGUGAAAGCCCAGGGCUCAACCUUGGAACUGCAUUUGAAACUGGUUAACUAGAGUUUUGUAGAGGGUGGUAGAAUUUCAGGUGUAGCGGUGAAAUGCGUAGAGAUCUGAAGGAAUACCAGUGGCGAAGGCGGCCACCUGGACAAAGACUGACACUGAGGCGCGAAGGCGUGGGGAGCAAACGGGAUUAGAUACCCCGGUAGUCCACGCAGUAAACGAUGUCUAUUAGAAGUUUGUGGCUAUAUGCCGUGGGUUUCAAAGCUAACGCAUUAAAUAGACCGCCUGGGGAGUACGGCCGCAAGGUUAAAACUCAAAUGAAUUGACGG
rnacentral:rRNA from 1 species